AUACGUAGGUGGCAAGCGUUGUCCGGAUUUAUUGGGCGUAAAGCGAGCGCAGGCGGUCUUCUAAGUCUGAUGUGAAAGCCUUCGGCUUAACCGGAGAAGUGCAUCGGAAACUGGGAAGCUUGAGUGCAGAAGAGGACAGUGGAACUCCAUGUGUAGCGGUGAAAUGCGUAGAUAUAUGGAGGAACACCAGUGGCGAAGGCGGCUGUCUAGUCUGUAACUGACGCUGAGGCUCGAAAGCAUGGGUAGCAAACAGGAUUAGAUACCCUGGUAGUCCAUGCCGUAAACGAUGAGUGCUAGGUGUUGGAGGGUUUCCGCCCUUCAGUGCCGCAGCUAACGCAUUAAGCACUCCGCCUGGGGAGUACGACCGCAAGGUUGAAACUUAAAGGAAUUGACGGG
rnacentral:rRNA from 1 species